rnacentral:tRNA from 1 species
GCCUGGCUGGCUCAGUCGGUAGAGUGUGCGACUCUUGAUCUCAAGGUUGUAAGUUUGAGUCCCACGCCGGAUG